UGGCGGACGGGUGAGUAACGCGUGGGUAACCUGCCCCAUACCGGGGGAUACCACUGGAAACAGGUGCUAAUACCGCAUAAGCGCGCGGCUCCGCAUGGGGCAGUGUGAAAAACUCCGGUGGUAUACGAUGGAUCCGCGUCUGAUUAGCUAGUUGGCGGGGUAACGGCCCACCAAGGCAGCGAUCAGUAGCCGGCCUGAGAGGGUGGACGGCCACAUUGGGACUGAGACACGGCCCAAACUCCUACGGGAGGCAGCAG
rnacentral:rRNA from 1 species